UACGUAGGGUGCAAGCGUUAAUCGGAAUUACUGGGCGUAAAGCGUGCGCAGGCGGCUAUGCAAGACAGAUGUGAAAUCCCCGGGCUCAACCUGGGAACUGCAUUUGUGACUGCAUAGCUAGAGGACGGUAGAGGCGUGUGGAAUUCCGGGUGUAGUGGUGAAAUGCGUAGAGAUCCGGAGGAACACCAGUGGCGAAGGCGACACGCUGGGCCGUACCUGACACUGAGGCGCGAUAGCAUGGGGAGCAAACAGG
rnacentral:rRNA from 1 species